GUAGUCAUAUGCUUGUCUCAAAGAUUAAGCCAUGCAUGUCUAAGUAUAAGCAAAUUUAUACCGUGAAACUGCGAAUGGCUCAUUAAAUCAGUUAUCGUUUAUUUGAUAGUACCUUACUACUUGGAUAACCGUGGUAAUUCUAGAGCUAAUACAUGCUAAAAGCCCCGACUUCGGAAGGGGUGUAUUUAUUAGAUUAAAAACCAAUGCCCUUCGGGGCUCUUUGGUGAUUCAUAAUAACUUAACGAAUCGCAUGGCCUUGUGCCGGCGAUGGUUCAUUCAAAUUUCUGCCCUAUCAACUUUCGAUGGUAGUAUAUGGGACUACCAUGGUUCAACGGGUAACGGGAAU
rnacentral:rRNA from 1 species